CUGGACAUGGACACACACACACACACACACACACACACACACACACACACACACACACACACACACACACACACACACACACACACACACACACACACACACACACACACACACACACACACACACACACACACACACACACACACACACACACACACACACACACACACACACACACACACACACACACACACACACACACACACACACACACACACACACACACACGUUUGUACUCUCAUCGCCACAAUGCUUUCCCCAGCUUCUCACCCUAAAACUAACCAAAACAAAUGGCUAAUCUGAACCAGGACUCGUAACCAAACUGAAACCUAAUUAUAAUGACCCAAGUAGGUGUACGCACACACACACACACUCAACCUGAAUUGAGGCUGAAAGACUUCAGCGUUCAGUGCAGUUGAUACAGUCAUAUAUGGAGGCGAUGCAGUGGCGAGAAGUAAAGCAAGUCAAGAUCAUAGUUGCCUAACCUGAUGUUGGUUUCUGUAUCCCAGCAUGAGGUUGGAGGCUUUGAUGUCUGCGUGGACAUACUCAUUCUCAUGGAUGAACUCCAGCACAUCCACCUGCACCGGAGGACAAAAGAGCUCCUUCUCUGUCCACCUCAAGUAUCAACGCCUUCAGCACCUCACCAGUGUCUGCCCCAGUUGGAGUACGGUGUCCUUCCUGAAGCGUCCACUGCGCUCGUAGAGCUUCUGAAGGUCAGUGCCCAGGCGAUCCAUGGCCAUGAAGCGGUAGCUGUAGAGCAGAUGAGCAACUGAAGUGGACAGCGCAGCUUCAGAGCCACAUCUCAGCAACAAACACGUGUGUGAAGCCAUCUUACAGCAUUCACUCUGCGGCACAAGCGACCACAUCAUCCGUCAAGCCCGCCUGCCCUCCGGUGUGGCGUGGGACAGGUGGAGGUACUCACCGCUGUCUGGCUUGGCUGCUCUCUGGUAGAACUUCAGCUCACAGAACAGCGGGCCGUUAGUCAGGUACUCCUGCGGGUAGUAUUUUACACGGUGAGUUUACACUCAAACUUACAAACUGUUCCAGUUCCAAUGACUGAAUGCACAUGAAUGACUAUUCUUUAAUGGUGGGGUCUCGGACUGGCCCACAAAGGGCCGCUGUGCACCCACUGUGGUCCUUUAAGGGCCGGUUUGAGACCCUUGCUUCACUGCAUUGCGGGACUUGAAUAGGCCAUUUCAGGCUUUUCCAUGUUUUGAGAUGUCUGUGCACCAACAGAGAACGUCGCGUUUUGCACAAUUCAUUCGCCUUCCAAUAAGGUUCACAUGAACAAGUGCAUUCGUGGAAGCUGUAAAGGAUCAUGGGAUUGAUAACACAUUCUACCGACAGACUUCUCAGAUGGUGCUACUGCAGUGGAUUCAUGAUGUUGCCAAGCACUAAAACAUAAACCCCUCUUGGACCUAGAAUAAAACUGUGACCUUUAUGCUGUCCACAACAAGAACGAGGAUAAACGUAUAAACUGGGGGAGGAAAAGAACAUCCAACUGAAAAACAGUGACCUGUUUAAGCUGCUUUAAAUGCAUCAGUGAUUUCUAUUUUGGUUGAAGUUGAAACCACAGUCCGUGGCAUAUCGGCUAUAUUGGAGCCCUUGUCGCUCUGUUGAACAACUUUUUCAGCGAGGUGACCAGUUUGUCAACUUUUAAUAGAUAAUAGAUAUUUGGAAAUAUCAACAAAGAAAGUUUACAGGUUAAAUUUGAUAACUGAAGGAUGCAGUCCGACUUAUUAAAACAAAAAAACAGUGCAACCUGCAGCAGUUCCUGUAAACCAUUGCAGUUGUCCACCACAGUAUGCAACUUGUGUCUGUAAGAAGGUGUGUUCUUCUGUUGCGAAGGCUUAUUUAUCACAAUGUACAUGGUGAGAUUACAUAUUGGCAUAAAUCAGCAUGUUUCCUGAAGUGCUUUUGCGGUGUGGUGGCAUAAGUGAAUCAUUGGAAACACAGCACCGCCUCCACAUCUACGCUACAGACAAAACUCUGAUGUUAUCUGGAAGCUGAGCAGCAGCUGGGCAGUCUGUGUGUAGGAGAGGGGAAGUGAAGCGGAGCAGCAAGUGAAAGUGAACCUUGUUGAGCAUUAAAUUGGUAAUGUUUUUAGGCAACACAAUGUUUGAGAAGUAAGAUUGAGGUUAGCUGUUUACAUUGAGGAGAUAAUCUAACAUAUUAAUAUUGAACUGCUUUUUGUUUUAACUUAUACCAAGGAGUGGUUGUUGACGUUUAUCUCAACAGUUCAGUAGAGGUAGAAAAGUGAGCUCACCAGUUUUAUCACAAACUCUGUGUCCUCUGGCACAGGGGUCUGGACGUCCUGCGAGGCUGAGUCGAGAGAGAAGGAGGUUUGAGUGAUGUUGCGCAGUGUGAACACAUGAGCAAGUGAUGUGAAGAAAACAGAGACAGACGAUGGAGAAGGAAAGGAAGUCAGAGCAAACGCUCUACUCAUUUGAGAGAAGAUUCGUCUCAAUGGCGAAAUCCCUGCGGGAUCGAAUCGAGCUCAUGCAACGGACAACUCCCUCCGAACACAUCACGCCGCCACCUUUCCCCUGCCCUCUCCUCCAUGAUGGAGGAUCCUUGCACUGCUCCAGCAGAAGGGAAUCCGCUGAACUCUCCACUGCGCUGAAAAAGACUGCUCACUGGAGGUUAAUCGCCAGAGUCAGGGAGCAGCGCUGACCAGGAUUCAGAUUACGCCUUAAUGGCCUCCCUGCCUGGGGCGGAAUGGAAAUGGAAAUAAAAAACCCAAACAUUAUUUAGUCCUCACGUAACAAGAUGAAGCAGUCGUGGUGGGAAAUUGGAGACACACUUCUCUGUUGAACUGUAAUUGCCUUUGUUUCUACAAGUGCUGAGCGGUGACUGACGGCACUAGUGAGGUCCAGCCACAGGGUCCCACCGUUGUGAGAUCACUGUCGCGUUCGCUUUGGCCAUCUCUUUCAUCUUACAAAAACUCUCUUUGCGGACAUGAAUUCUGACAUGGAGACAGGAGGAGUGUGGCCCAGCUGUCUCACCCCGCUGCAGGACCUCCUUCAGUGGCCGGCUGAUCCACCCUUGACGCCCCUUCCUGCCCACUGCUGUCAGGUUGUACUACAGUAAACUCUGCAGGGACUGACUGUACAUUGUCCGAUUCAUCCAUCAUUUCUUUAUUUAUUAUCUCACUAUUUAAACAGGUUGUUAUUGAUAAUAUAAUUUAUCAUUAUCUUACUAUCUUACUAUAUAUUUCAUGUAUUUUGUUGUUGAUAUUUGUUGAUUUAUUAUGGGUGGUCAUUUGUCUUGUGCUGUUUGACAGUUUGUGACUUCACUUUUUUAUUUUUUGACAAUGCUUUGUGGACGUCUUUGAUGUUUGUCCUGUAUCUUUAAUGUCUUUGAUAUGUGCAGUGUCUUUGUUGUCAUUGGCUGCUGUGACAUGUUGAAUUUCCCCACUGUGGGACGAAUAAGGGCCAUCGAAUCUCGUCGAGUCGAGUCUAAUCUAGUCGAAUCUCGUCUAUUCUCAUGUAGUAUAAUCUAGUCUAAUAUAAUCCAGUGUAAUCUAGUCUAGUCGAAUCUAAUCCAGUCUAAUCUAGUCUAGUCGAAUCUCGUCCAAUCGAGUCGAGUCGAGUCUAGUCGAGUCAAGUCUAGUCUAGUCUAGUCUAGUCUAGUCUAGUCUAGCCUAAACAAAUCUAGCCAAGUCCAGCCGAGUUGAGUCGAGUCAAGUCAAGUCUAAUGAAAGGGAAAUGGUCACCAGUAUGUAACUCCAGCUCUAUGAGGACAUGCAGAGCUCCCUAACAGGCUUCGCUGAUGGUGUAUCCCUUCAGGGCCACAGAGGGCGCAGGUUUUUGUUGCAACCAAUCCAGGACAGUUUUUCCCCAAUCUGUCUGAAGACUGACACCAACUGUUCCCAAGACAAAGACGUGUGUAGGUUCUCAUUCCACUGAAUGUCCAGUCGUAUUUAAAGUGUGAGAGGAAAGAACUCCGGUUCCUUCCGUCUCCACCUCCGAUGAUAAAUUAGGACAAAGCAAAGCACAAAGAGAAACAAACAACUACAUUUGCUGCACUUUGUUUUCCUUCAAACAACCCAAUUGGGCAGGUUCAACUGGAGGCUCCACGGAGUCCAGCACCGCCUGAAGCUGCUUCACACACCACAGGAACCUGCUCACUGCACUCACCGACUCUUCACCUUCUCCGCCGUCCGACGUCAACUCGCCUUUGGAAACAGACCAGGCGAGAACAAAGCCAGACGCCUGGCACAGAAGAUUCUAUUGAUUCACUUCAAACUCCCAAACAAGCAUC